rnacentral:rRNA from 1 species
GAUGAACGCUAGCGGGAGGCCUAAUACAUGCAAGUCGAGCGGUAGAGUGACUUCGGUUGCUUGAGAGCGGCGCACGGGUGAGUAACGCGUACAUGACCUACCUUUAAGACUGGGAUAGCCCUGGGAAACUGGGAUUAAUACCGGAUGUGAUAAUACGUAUAGAGAUGUAUUAUUAAAGUUGAGGCGCUUAGAGAUGGAUGGUGCGUCUGAUUAGCUAGUUGGUAGGGUAACGGCCUACCAAGGCUACGAUCAGUAGGGGCGUGAGAGCGUGGCCCCCACACGGGUACUGAGACACGGACCCGACUCCUACGGGAGGCAGCAGUAAGGAAUAUUGGUCAAUGGACGGAAGUCUGAACCAGCCAUCCCGCGUGCAGGAUGACUGCCCUAUGGGUUGUAAACUGCUUUUAGCAGAGACGAAAACGCCUUCAUUUAUGAGGGUCUGACGGUAUCUGCAGAAUAAGCACCGGCUAACUCCGUG